GUCGCAACGGAACCCUGCAACAAGUCGCAACGGAACCCUCGAAAAUGAAGGAGAAGAGACUGCACAGUCAGUAAAUCAAUCAGGCUGAAGAAUCACUAUGAGGGAGAACUGAGAAAUAAGACCAUUUGCAUCAACAGGAAUUUGAACUUUCCUACAGAUCAAUUUAUUGGACAUAAUCUGGUGACCUGGGAAUCUGGUGGCCUGAGAAAACUGCUCACUUAUCAAACAGGGGCUUCUAUUUUAAGAUUUGAUUCGAGACCUUCACUGUGCUAUGUCUACCAAUCC